ACGGGGGGAGCAAGCGUUGUUCGGAAUCACUGGGCGUAAAGGGCGUGUAGGCGGUUAGGUAAGUGGGAUGUGAAAUGCCUCGGCUCACCCGAGGAUCGGCAUCCCAAACUGCCCGACUUGAGUAUGGGAGAGGAUGAGGGAAUUCCUGGUGUAGCGGUGAAAUGCGUAGAUAUCUGGAGGAACACCGGUGGCGAAGGCGGCAUCCUGGACCGGUAUUGACGCUGAGGCGCGAAAGCGUGGGGAGCAAACAGGA
rnacentral:rRNA from 1 species